rnacentral:piRNA from 1 species
CUCUCUGAAUAAGAUUGAAGAUU